GAGUUGGCUGGUCUGGGCACUUGCCAUUCUUCUUCCCUAUUCUAUUUUUGGACGAAGGCCUUUGAUGGACUAUUCAGAUGAGCGUGCAGAAUAUUUCAUUUGUCUGCCACUGCUUUUGGAAGCGAUAAGCGAAUUGCAACGCAAUGAAUGGAGAGAUGUUUUAAAAUGUAACAAAAUUUCACACGAGUCCCAUAAGGUUAAGGAAGUUUCAAUCAAAAAUCUUUCACAAUAUCCCGAAUUCUUUAGAAAUAUAAAAACACAAAAUCCGUUCUGCAUGAAAAAGCUAAAAGGAUUGCAACAUGAAUAUGAAAAUAUUAUGAAUAGAGUGGAAAAGGGAUGUUAAUAAAUUAUUGAUUGGCAUUACGAGUGUUGGAUGAACAAUUUAAUAAUGAUGCGUGUAAAUUGGAAAGUUUUAUCAUUGAAAAUGAUGAAUAAAUAUAUAACAAUAAUAAUAAAUAACAAA